CUGAGUACUACACUCUCUACCCUUUGUGAACUAUUAUACCUGUUGCUUCGGCGGCGCCCGCGAAGGGUGCCCGCCGGUCUCAUCAGAAUCUCUGUUUUCGAACCCGACGAUACUUCUGAGUGUUCUUAGCGAACUGUCA
rnacentral:misc_RNA from 1 species